rnacentral:rRNA from 1 species
UACGUAGGGGGCAAGCGUUAUCCGGAUUUACUGGGUGUAAAGGGAGCGCAGACGGAAGUACAAGUCUGAUGUGAAAUGCGGGGGCUCAACCCCUGACUUGCAUUGGAAACUGUAUUUCUAGAGUGCAGGAGAGGUAAGUGGAAUUCCUAGUGUAGCGGUGAAAUGCGUAGAUAUUAGGAGGAACACCGGUGGCGAAGGCGGCUUACUGGACUGUAACUGACGUUGAGGCUCGAAAGCGUGGGGAG